GGGCGGAUGGCACAGUGGUAGCGCGCUUGCUUCGCAAGCUCCGGCAGGAGUUCCGUUGCAUGAGGUCGUGGGUUCAAACCCCACUUCGUCCA